UGUUCUAGGUCGCCCACCAGUAAAAUGCGGGAAUACUUUAUGUUCUAGGUCGCCACCAGUAAAAUGCGGGAAUACCUUUCAGUUCUAGGUCGCCCACCAGUAAAAUGCGGGAAUACUUUCAGUUCUAGGUCGCCCACCAGUAAAAUGCGGGAAUACUUUUCAGAUCUAGGUCGCCCACCAGUAUAAUGCGGGAAUACCUUUCAGUUCUAGGUCGCCCACCAGUAAAAUGCGGGAAUACUUUCUGUUCUAGGUCGCCCACAAGUAAAAUGCGGGAAUACUUUUCAGUUCUAGGUCGCCCACCAGUAAAAUGCGGGAAUACUUUAUGUUCUAGGUCGCCCACCAGUAAAAUGCGGGAAUUCUUUUCAGCUCUAGGUCGCCCACCAGUAAAAUGCGUGAAUACUUUUCAGCACUAGGUCGCCCACCAGUAUAAUGCGGGAAUACCUUUCAGUUCUAGGUCGCCCACCAGUAAAAUGCGGGAAUACAUUCAGUUCUAGGUCGCCCACCAGUAAAAUGCGGGAAUACUUUUCACCUCUAGGUCGCCCACCAGUAUAAUGCGGGAAUUCCUUUCAGUUCUAGGUCGCCCACCAGUAAAAUGCUGGAAUACUUUUCAGCUCUAGGUCGCCAGCAGUAAAAUGCGGGAAUACUUUAUGUUCUAGGUCGCCCACCAGUAAAAUGCGGGAAUACUUUAUGUUCUAGGUCGCCACUAGUAAAAUGCGGGAAUUCCUUUCAGUUCUAGGUCGCCCACCAGUAAAAUGCGGGAAUACUUUUCAGUUCUAGGUCGCCCACCAGUAAAAUGCGGGAAUACUUUCUGUUCUAGGUCGCCCACCAGUAAAAUGCGGGAAUACUUUCU
rnacentral:lncRNA from 1 species